GAUGAACGCUAGCGGCAGGCUUAACACAUGCAAGUCGAGGGGCAGCGCGGGAUAGCAAUAUCCUGGCGGCGACCGGCGGAGGGGUGCGUAACGCGUGAGCGACAUGCCCGUUGCCCGGGGACAACCGGUGGAAACGCCGACUAAUCCCCGAUGGGAUACGAUGCUUCAUGGCAUUGUAUUGAAGGUUACGGCGGCGACGGAUUGGCUCGCGUCCGAUUAGCUGGUUGGCGGGGUAACGGCCCACCAAGGCUGCGAUCGGUAGGGGUUCUGAGAGGAAGGCCCCCCACAAUGGGACUGAGACACGGCCCAUACUCCUACGGGAGGCAGCAGUGAGGAAUAUUGGUCAAUGGGCGGAAGCCUGAACCAGCCAUGCCGCGUGCGGGAAGGAGGCCCUAUGGGCUGUGAACCGCUUUUGCCUGGGGGCAAUAAGGGCGUCGCGCACGUCCGAUGAGAGUACCAGGCGAAUAAGCAUCGGCUAACUCCGUG
rnacentral:rRNA from 1 species